GCUAGCUUUGCCUUUGGCUGCUUCGAUUCUAUUCCCAACUCGUCGUGUCGCAGGAGUAUUUAACCUCACCCGAUCACCGACGGCAGGCACUCCAGCCAGAUCAAACUCCGGGACCGAUCGACCCGACCGUCCCCAAGGCUCAAGCUUCCGCGCUCAUUCGCGCAGGCGGUCAGCUCCCCGCACGCCGCCGGAACACGAGCUCUGUUUCUACAUACACGAGCUCUAUUUCUGCAUUGCAGGUCGCCCGCGUCGGGUAUACAAGCAAAGCAAAGCGAAGCAAGCAAGGCGCAGCCAUGGAGAUGGUGCUGGUGAUCUCGCUGCCUCUGGUGGCCCUCGUCGUCAUCAUCGCCAUCAUCCUCUGCAUCAUCUGCCGCUGAUCGCCGACGCCGGCCGCGGUGGCGCGCACACCAUGAGUCGUUUGCAGCGUCGUCGCCGACACCCGUUCAUCAUCAUCAGGACCUGAUUUAUUUCGUGAUCACAGCGUAAUAACGUGCGUGCGUGCGUGCGUGUGUAUCCACUGUCGUCGGUGGUCUGGGGUGUGGAUUGUGAUUUGGAGUAUUGAUUAGUUUUGGACCUCUCCUGUCUUUUUCCUCUUUUUUUAUCCGACUCCAAAGGCAUCGGACACAGCAUCGUGCAUGCUGCGCGUCUGCACUAGGUUGUCUUCGUAACUAAGGAACUAGAGACUUCUCAAGCUUUUUCGAGUUUUUCAUUUUGGAUACAGAUUUGAGUAGAGUACUAUGCUGUAAUAAGCUCGUGUGAUCUCUUCUGUUGAGUGACGAAAUGGCCAGUGACUGAGAAGGAUCAGCCAGGCAGCCAGCAUAUAUAGCUGGCCUGGCUUCACUCUCACAGUCAAGCAAGCUCCAAGCACCGCCCAGCUUGGCUCGGCCGCGGCGCCACGCGGCACGUGGCACGCGUUUUUCGCUUGGUGUUUCUUCCUCCCCCGGCCGAUUAAUUUAACGGGCCCCCACCACCCAGAGCGGCCAUCGCCUUCUCCUUCCCUAUCUCGUCGCUGGCAUCUUGCCCCAGUUCUUCUCCCCCGUCGCCGUCCCCCCAUUACUGCGCCCUGUCGCCUCCCUCCCCCAGCUCGCUUCUCCAGCAAGAUCAGCAAGUACAGCGAGAAGAGCAGCUCGAUCCCGCGCAGGGAGAGACCGGAUGGAGUUCGUGCUGAUCAUUUCGCUGCCGCUCCUCAUUCUGAUCAUCAUCGUCGCCGUGGUCCUCUGCAUCGUCUGCCGUUAGCUGAAUGCCCCACAAAGAAACAUCCACCUCUGCCGUGAUCAUACCAUGUGCUAAAUUAACUUUUGUACAUCGUGACCUGAAAAAAACCUCUUCCUCUGCGUUGCCGUGUGAUUAAUCGGCUGUAGCUCUAUCCUUUAUUAUUUUUUAAUCCCUGUGCAAAAGGGGCUUCGAUUCUGCGUGUCAGACUGAUACAUAACCGACAUGCUGUGAGUCUGGAAUUGGGAGUUUUUGGGGUGUUUGGAUACAAGGUCACAUGCCGUGCUCUUUUGGUUCCUCUGCAAUCUGCAUCCUUCGAGGUCAGAAAUGUUCUUGAGCAGAUCUGACUCAAGACGCUUUGCGUCCGUGAGAAUCUGGGGUGAGCUGAGCGUCAACCUGCGCUUUGUGCUCUUUGUCGUGCCGCCCCACGAGGGGAAAGGCGCAAACGGGACCCUCUUUUUGUCAGGGAAGAAACGCAAAGAGAGGCCGCCGGCCGAAUCGAAAGAGGAACAGGUGCGCUCCCCUAUUGGCACGCCUUGUUCUCUUCGUGUGAUCAUCCAGUCAUCCAACGCCGCGUUGCCGACACUUACGUGACACAAAUCAGACAGGUACUCGAGACAUCUGAGAAACUCCUGGCCUUGCUGAGCUAGGGUGCCACCUGCCAGUGCAGCAUUUGAUGCUGGAUGUGAUGACUAUCCGGAACUGCAAACAGGACACAUAGGACGUCUCCGUCUUCAAUGGAAUAAAUCAGAUGAUAGCUCAUAGUUAAUACGAUCCUAGAUAUAAAGCACCUUUGAAGAUCGUGCUAUGAGAGAAUUGUAUUGAAAAGUGAGCGAGACUAGCUCUCACUUCACGCUAGAUAUAUUGCACUGUUCAACUAGUAAGAAAUUGAUUGAGCUAACUCUAAACUAGACCAUUGGAGACGCUCAUAGGCUAUCCCAUAUUACCUUCAGACAGGAUCCUAGAAGAGGCUGAAAACUCUUGUCUCUAUAUUGCGCAAAGAGUGAAAUGCACCACGUCCUUUAAACUUGUCGUGCUAUGCUAAAUAGGUUAGUUGAUAACGUAUUUUUGAACUUCAAACUUGAUAAUCGUGUCAAAUAUGUCCAAAUCCUAGCCAUUUGUACUAAAACACCGAUUACUCACGGUAAACUGCACGCGUGGCAAGCUGAGGCUGACUGGGACGCUAACGGGACCUGACACGUGGGCCCCACAUGUGAGACACACCUACCUUCUCCCUUUCUCUCUCUUCCCUCGUACUCAUCUAUCCGCCGCACCGUCGACGUUCGCUCUGUCCGUCGUGCUACCCAACCUUGCCCCGUCCUGCCUCCCUUGCGCCGCCAUGGACCCAUCCUCCUCUCUCCCCGUUCACCUCCCACCAGUGCACUGCCAUGGCUGAGUGGCUGCAGCAUGCAGCAAAUGGGGUGGGGGUGGCACCGAGCGGCGUGGCGGGAGUGGGGACGGCGGCUCCAAGCAAAGCGGUGGAGGCGACGGCGGCUCCGAGCAGCUCCGGCAGAGGAGGGGAUCCGCGCGCGCCCAUUGGCUCCUCCGGCGGCGACCACCAUCCAGCGGAGCUCCACGACGCAAGCGGCAGGCCGGGCUGGGUCGGGCCCGAGCGGCGCGCCUCGAACUCCGGGAAGCGGCGGCGUGCCUCAAGGUGAUGCCCAGCGCGAGCUGGCGGUGGCGGCGGCUAGCACGGCUGCACCCUGCGCGAGCGGACAAGGCCGAGGAUGCGGGCGGACGGCGGCGGCGGUCGUGCCUUGCUCCAGCGGACAGGAGCCCAAGGUUGCAGCCAACGCGAGCGGACGGUUGCGGCGCGAGCAGACGGCAAACGAAGCACGCGGCCCGGCGCGAGCGGACGGCGACGACGGCCUGGCCAGCGUGAGCAGCGGCGUUGGAUUGGUGUAGGUGGCCGGCCGGGGCUGCAUGCCGACGAGGGCCGCUCCGACCCCCGAGGUCGAGUGUGUGGUGGCCGGCAUGGCGGGGGAGGAGGAGGCCGGGCGGCGGCGGCGGCCAGGAAGGGGAAGGAGGCGGGCGGAGGUGCGAGGAAGGAGAAGGUAGGUGUGCCUCACAUGUGGGGCCCACGUGUCAGGUCCCGUCAGCGUCCUUGUCAGCCUCAGCUUGCCACGUCGGCGUUUUAAGACAAAUUGCUAGAA